GAACUCCUUCAGAAGUGAGAGUUAAUUACACUAAAUUUUAAGAAUUAGUGUUAGAGUUUUCUUGCCACAGUUGUAAUGCUCAUGUUGCUUUCUUCCAGGAACAUUAAAAUCUCCCCAGAUGCUCACUGCUCUGAUCAUUUCCCCUACAGCACCAGACAUGUUGGCAUCAUCUCUUAGUUGGGCCCUGUGGCCAGGGAACCCCUCAUGAAACCACCUCUGCAGUCCUGGUGAGUUGCUGUAGAAGAAGGAAAAGCGAGGAAGACAACGCAACACAGGAGGAGAUAAGUACCUCUGGACACAGUGGAAGUAGUAGUUGUUGAGCAGAGGGAAAGGGAUAGGAGAAGGAUGUGGACUGCAGUGCUGCAGUGCCAGGUAAUAACUUUGAUCAUGUACCUCCUUGGCUCAGGUGCUGUCUCUUCUACUCUCCUCCUUACUUGUACUACCUUAUUUAGCACUUAAUUAUAUACUUUCUUGACUCACUUUGAGACACACUGAUUAUGUGGUCUGCCUCAAAGAUGGAAUCCUAGUUUUGGAUUUUAGCAUUACUGAUCUAUAGCCUUGCAGGGGCUUAAGGAUGGCAGCUGUCUCUCCCCCUUGGGAUCUAGCUUUUGCAAAUAUUGAAGGGAAGAGAUUUCUGUGAUCUUAUAGGAACAGAUCCACAGCUCAUCUCCAAAUUUGCUUUUAUAGAGAAGUGUGUGUCACCAAAACGUGGAGAUAUGGUCAGAGAGGCCCCUACUCCCAGAAUUUUAAUAUAAUUUUACUUUCUAGGGCAUUUAUUCUUGUCAAAUACUUUCUCUCCUAUCAGCUCACUUGUUCUUCACAAAAGCCCUAUAAGAUAUUAAUAUUAUUAAACAGACCCCUAUGAAGCACCUCUAAUCUUUCCCUCUUCCCACUUCUAUUCUUGCACACCUUUUGCUAGACCAGUCUCUGCGUUCAUCACAUCAGGUUUCUAAAAUAAAAGUCCCCUAAUAACUUUCCGUUUGUUCCCUCAUCAAAUUGAACCUUUUUUUGCCUGGCUUAUAAGGUGGCCUUAAAACCCCAUUUUCCUCUAAACCUUGUCUCUGUAGUUCAGGAACAUGGCAGGCUCAACACUAUGCAUGAGCCCAUAUUGCUUCCCUCAUUAGUGAUGCCUCCUCUCAAACCACCCAGAUUCUACUCAUUCUUCAAUUUCCAGCUUCUCCUUGGAGCCUUCCCAGAUCAUUAGCUUCUUAAAAAUCCCAGCUUUCUCUGAAUUCUGAUGGUAGCCACCGUUAUUUGGACAAUUAUGUCCUGGUCUUGAAGUCCUAAUGGAAGAAAAAAGUAUAUGAUGGACUUCACGUAGAGAAGAAAGCACUGGACUGAGUUUUAAGACAGCUGCUAAGGAGCUGUGUGAGCCGAACCAGGUUACUUUACCUCUCUGGAUCUAUAUUUGCUGAUCUGUUAAGUGGAGAGGAUUGGGUCAGAUAAUCUUGGUGGUCUUUGCUUAUUCUGAGGUUCUUGGACAAUUUGGCCUAGUUCACGUGGGAUGGGAUUGAAGAUCUUACUGAGUUCUUGGAUGGAAAUGUCAGUAAUGGGCACUCAGUGCCUUCAGGACUUGUUCUGUACUAUCCCAGAAAUUUCUGAUGCUAAACUUGGCAAUUUUUAAAUGCCAUAUUCCUUUUCUCCAAACUCUUUAACCACAAGAAUUCAGGGAAGGUUAAUGGGGGGUGACUUAGUUAUCUGGAUAAUAUGUAUUGUGGACAAUAUGGCAUUAUCCUUGGGAAUGAUUUCAUAUUGUUGAAUAAAUAGGAUCAACUUCUUGAUAAGCCUUAGUCCUAAGCAUUUCUUCAUUGGAUAGUGUUAUAUAGUAAUAUAUUUAUGUUUUCUUUUAAUCAUUUCAUAACUUGGAAAAUACUAACGUAGUCAAAACUCUAGGGUAGGUGAUACAUGAGUUUCUGUAGUAAUCUGGUUGGAGACAUGUUGUAUUUCUGCAUGUAUAUGUACAUUUAUCCCAUGCAUGUUAUGCCUAAACUAAGAAGGAUACCCCUGAAUUAAGAGGUGCUGUUACACAUUGACCAGGCUUAAGAAUAUCUCUUUAAAGAGUGUUGACAUUUAAUUGACCUUUGAAAGUUCAUUCUGUUAAUCAUACUCAAAGUGCUAAAGCUAUGGUUGACUGCUCUGGUGUUUUUAUAUUCAUUCGUGCUUUAGCAUAUAAAUUCUUCAGCAUAAUUGCUACUUAUUUAGCAAGAGUUUCCUUUCUUUGAAAAUGUGAGUUGUGCUUGUAUUUUUGUGUCUUUCUUUCUUUUUUUAAACUUUGCUUCAGGCUGGGUAGUGGUAGAGGUUUGAAUUAAAAUGUUUUCCUGUCAGUAGUUGUAUGAGGUGUGGCUUCUUAAUCUAGAAGUAAUGGAAAUUUCUUGCUUAAAUGAAGUGCACUUUUCUUCAUGCAGAAGUUAGAACUCUUUUAGACAAGCUUAACACUUCAAAACUGUAUAUCUUUAACAGAAACUUUUGGAAAUUUUUAAAUUCCAUUUGUGUAGAUUAAAAAUAUCAGUGCUAAUACUUUCUAUUAAAUAUGGAUUUAUCUAUUUUCAUAAAACCUCUAAUUAUAUUCCUUGAAUUGCUAGGAGUAGAAUUUUGUUGUAAACACAAUAUUUUUUAAAAGUCAAAUAUAUUUUUAAAAUCUUAACAUUAUAUUACUAUAACUUAGAGAACAGGUGUUUACAUGUUUAAAAUUUUCUAGGCCUUAAAUUUGUGAAAUCAGUCUUUCAGAAGUUAUUUUUAAUAUAGUUAGCUGUCUUACAGGUUUAUAAGUCAGCAUUUCAAUUUAAAAUUUUUUCAACUUAUAUUUCAAUGACCAGGAAAAAAUAGUGAAACUUGUUCCUAAACUCUAAUAGAAAAAUAAAAAACCACACAGUUGUUAAUUUCUGGUAAUUUAUCUUGAGACUCCAGACAUGUUUUUAGAACAUUUUUGCCUUAAAAGCAAUUUGAAAAUAGGGAAAUUAAAGUUUAAAGCAGAGUUCUCACUUUAAUGAGGUAAUUUUAUUCUUCCCAGAUAGGUAGCCCCAUAUUCAGGAUCACUCUGAUCUCUGUUUAUAGUAAGUUUUGAUGCCAUUAUAUCAUUUACUUAUUCAUGCAUUAUAAGCAUAGUAGAUAGCCCCAUUGUCACGAAGCUGGCAUUAUUUUCUUCUCUCUCUUUCAAUAUUGUCCCCUUUUUUUUCUGUUUUCAUCAUAGCCGUCCUUUUCAUUUUAUUGUAGCCCUGACUCGAAAUGAAAGUAAGUUUGUUCCUCUUAAACAUUUCACUUGAAACUCUUUUUUUUAGAAUAUACAGUGAAAUGUCUUAAAUAAUAUUAUCUAAAUAAUACCUAAAGAAUGCAAAUGACUUGCAAUGCUGAAUAGUCAGACACAGGAUGUUCCAUGCUAAGGGUAGACUCAUAUUUCCACUUUAUAAAAUGUGGUUUCAGAAACUAAAUAGAUGUGUUUCUUCCUUAAUAAUUAGUGUUUCAGGACCAAAGUUGACUAAAUAUGGAAGUUUAAGAUAAAGCCUUGUUUCUUAGGGAAUCUUUCUCAGUCCUUAGUAAUUCUGUAGGAUUGAUGAUAGAGUGACAACUUCAAUACACUCAGUAUUCUUUUCUGUUUGAAGUCUGUUUUGCCAUUGUAAAAAACUUAAUGUCGUUUGAAUUUGGCUAUAUGUAGUCACAGAUGGUUUACUUUAUUUUUAUUUUAUGUAAACAAAUACUUUCAUGUCCCAAACACUGAGACAUGUUUCAUGUCCUAAACACUUUAUAAAUACUAGAAUAUUUAAUCCUCUUAACUCUAUAAUUAUAAUUAUCUUCAUUUUACAAUUGAGAAAACUAAGAUACAAAGUUUUAUUUAAUGGUAAGGCCUUAAGUAAGGGGAGAGUGAUAAGUGUAAGCAGAGUGGAAAACUUAGUAGUGCUAAGAAGCAACAGAAGUAUGUGCAAGAGUUUGGGAAGAUGUGUCUACUUGGAAAGGAUCAGGGACUCAGCUGGGAUCAGUCUUAAAGAGCAACAUGUCCUCAUUCCUCAAUUUUAAGCCUUUGGGCUCUAGAAGUAAAGGGCAAACUUAGAAAGAGGAGGCACUCCUCCGGUUUCAGCUGCCUGUUUCGGCCUGGUGAGGUGGCUGUACUGGCUCAUGUGUUUCUCAUAGGGCUACAUGAGCCUUUAUGUCUUACCUCCUCCUCAUUUCGUGGCUGACUCCUGCUUUUUUGUAGGGUUUAACUUCUCUCUCAGCUAGAAGGUUAGGCAUUGCAAAUACCAGUGGAUAAUUUUUUUCUUAGCUUUAAACCCAGCCCAUUUCAACCCCCUCUUUGCCCUUUGUAUAUUCUUUUGAAAAUAUCAUCCAGUAGUGUUUAUGAAUGUGUGUUGUAUAAAAUUUAAAGAUUGAUGGUAAACAACAGAAUUAAAGGACAAAGCUGUCUUUUUUGUUGGAAUUGGGGAUGGGAGAGCAGCUCAAAGUAGGAAAUAUGGAGAAAGGAGAGAGAUUGUGGAAAAGAAGAGAUAUAUUGAGGGGAGAAAAAGAGGGUGAAAAAAUGAAGAGAGAGAAUUACUGAUGUGCUUCACACCCACACCUCCUCUCCAACUUCACAGUAACAGGCAGUGUCACUAUCUUUUACCUGACAAGUGCUUUACCAGGGAGUUGUGCCUGGCAUCGUGGGAGUGGAAAAUUUCUCCCUUUUGCAUUUUGAGACUUGGGUGUGCUGCUUUAAGAUGCCACUGGUAUCUAAGUAAUGUUUGUUUAUACUGGAUAUUUUUCUCUGUAGCCUUUGUGGAUUGGACUUAUAAUAUAAACAAUAUUGUUAGCAGAACUGCAGGUACUCUAUUGCUAUGUUUAUUUUAUUAGUUAAAAAACUACCAGAGCCCUAGGACUUCUGAGCACAUUUAGAAAAUACCAGAGGCAAUUUUAAGACUAGCAUUAGAAAGAAAGAAAAAAAUAAGAGUAAAACUAAGACUUGCGUACCUUAGAAUCCUAACCAAUGUGGUGAUUUUUAAAAAUUAAUGUUUCAGGUAAUGUUUCAGAGACUCUAAAUUAGCCUAGUUGGUUUCAUCAGUUACAUUUUUUAAGUUAAUAUAAAGCACUUUUGUAUAUAAGUUCUCUUAGUAGAUAAUUUAUGUAAAAUGAAAGUGUGGCAUUUUUUUGUUCCAUGGAAUGUAAAACUAACGUCAGAAUAAGAAUUCUUUGGGGAAUUUAGGAUAUUUUUGAUGCUUCUCAAAUAAUCUGUAAUGACUUUUCUUUAUAGAAAAGGUAGAUUAUUCAUUAGUUUUUAUGAAAAACACUCAGUUUACUAGUUGGGUAUGGUGGUGCAUGGCUGUAGUCCCAGCUACUCAGGAGGCUGAGGCACGAGAAUUGCUUGAACCUGUGAGGCAGAGGUUGCAGUGAGCCGAGAUUGCACCACUGCACUCCAGCCUGGUCCGGAGUGAGACUCCAUCUCAAACAAAACAAAACAAAAAUAUUGAGCUAAUCUAAAUGGUAAAAGUCUAGAUUUGAAGAAAUUUAUUUUAAAAUAGUUGUUCAUUUGUCAAAUAAAAAAGUAUGAUCUUAGCAGGUUUGGUUAGAUUCCUAUCUGAAACAAAGUAAACUAAAGAUGUUUUUCUUGAUCAAUGCAUAGCAGUAACUGCUGUUCAAACAUGUGAGGAAUCACCAGUAAAUUGGGGGAUAGAAAGCAGGAAAAGGAGCUUUUUUCUUUUUUUUUUUUCAUCAGUUUUUCCCAUUUGUCCAUCCUUUCCUAUAAUCAUGGAAAUUUUUAUUUUGUACACUCCUCUCCCCAUUUGUUUAUCCUAGAUUGCCACCACACCAAGGUUUUCUAGAGUUAGGCAGAAAGAGAACCUAGGCCUAGAUGCUAAUGGAAACUAUCCCAUGCUUUCUCAGACUCUCUUUCCUCCCCAGAGACAAGAGGAGCAAAACAGGAGUUGAUGGCUCAUUGCUGUUGCUUCUGUGGCUGCCCUGUUUGGUUGACCUGAGCUUUUUUUAAAAACCUCCACUCUUGAUGCUUAACUCUACGAAUAAAAUUAGGGCCAGUCACACUGUAUUUUCAUCAUCAGUUAUCCCUAGUGAUUCAAAUUUAGCACAAACCUGCUGUGAGUACAUAUUAAUUAGGUGAAUACGGUAGAAUGCAAUCAUAACAUGAGUCUUUUAAUAACUAUUCUUUGUUUGAUUUUUAUUUUAGAAGUUUGCAGUUAUUUUGUAGAAAAUCUUUAUGUGAGCAACUGAGGUUCGGGUAGCCCACAACAGUUUAAAUCAAACAUUAACUUGCAGUAAAACACUACUGAAAGUGUCUUUGAUUUUGAGGUGCAAGAGCUGUUUCAAGUUAAGUUGCUAUAUUAGUCUGUUCUCAUGCUGCUAAUAAAGACAUACCUGCAACGGGGCAAUUUAUAAAAAAAAAAAAAAAAAAAAAAAAAGAGGUUUAAUUGACUCACAGUUCCACAUGGCUGGGGAGGCCUCACCAUCAUGGCGAAAGAGCAAGGGAUGUCUUACAUGGUGGCAGGCAAGAAGUUUGUACAGAGGAACUCCUGUUUAUAAAACCACCAGAUCUCAUGAGACUUAUUCACUACCACGAGAACAGGAUGGGGGAAACCACCUCGGUGAUUCAAUUAUCUCCACCUGGCCCCACCCUUGACACGUGUUGAUUAUUACAAUUCAAGGUGAGAUUUGGGUAGGUACACAGCCAAACCAUAUCAGCUGCCCAUUCUCCUGUGCAGUGACAUAAAGGUCUGAUAACCUAAUUUAAAGCUUGGACUCUUAAGAUUUUGUUUUUUAUUUUUUUGAGUCAGGGUAUCUCUGUCACCCAAGCUGGAGUUCAGUGGCAUUAACAGGGCUCAUUGCAGCUUCGACCUUCCAGGUUCAAGUGAUCCUCCUGCCUCAAGCUCCUGAGUAUCUGGGGCUACAAGGCAUGUGCCACUGUGCCAGGCUAAUAUUUUUAUUUUUAUUUUUGUAAAGAUGGGGUCUCACUUCUGGGCUCAAGCAAUCUUUCCUCAGCCUCCUAAAGUGCUGGCAUUAUAGGUGUGAGCCACUGCACCCUACUCUAAAGAAUUUCAUAUCCCUGUUUUCGGUAUGCUGUGUCACUGUUUGCCAUGGGUAAAGGUAUAUGAAUCUCUUUUAUUUUGCUGCUUGCAACCCAAUUCCCAUGCCAAACCCAGUUUGUAUCCAAAUAAACAAUAUUGGAGACAAGUUCUUCUAUAGAAAGCUUCAUAAGCCAGUUACUGACUACUGUGUCUGUAAAUAUACUCAAACUAUUUUGUAGUCUUGCUAUUUUAAAAAAUGUGUGGGUGUGGGAAGUGAUGUUGAAUGAAUUCAGGGUAAUUGGUGGUUCUUUGUAUUAGGAAAACUCACUAGUUAAGGGAAGUCUGUUUUCAUGUUUCAUGUAUGUUUAACUUAAAAAAAAAAAUCUUCCGUCCUUCUCUCCAGUUUCCAGUCUACCUCAUAAAUUCAAGCAAUGAAGUAAUUUAAAUAAUAGAAUUUUAUAACUGAAAGGAUUUUGGAGAGAAUCUAUUAGCCCUCCUACUACAGUUGAGGAAAUAGAUGUCCAGUGAGGUCAAUGAGAUCAUGUAGCUAGUUUAAAAACCCAAAUAACAAUUUAGUAGUUUGUUUCCAUUAGUAAGCACUGUUCUGUUUAAUUUGCCCUAACAUGUUUAUAAUCAGAGUCAUAAUAAGGAAAAAUCACUAAUAUGUGUGUGGUACUUUCUUGUGCAUACCUCAGUCACUUCUCAAAAGAGGUCUGUAAGGUGUGGGUAUCCUGGUUUCUGUUCAGGGAGAGAACAGGCUAUAAGCCUAAGGGACCUGUCUGCGCCAGUCACUAUCAAAACAGUCUAAUGCUACGCGUCUUCCUACCUUGGCAAAAGCAUUGGCUGGUGUCUGGACAGUUCUCAUAGACCACAGGAUUGGGCAGGGGGAAGCCACAUCUUCAUGUUAGGGCUCUAGCCUGUGCCAGUUAUUAACUGUUGUCGCUAUUUCAUCACUUUUUAAAGGGGAAAAAAGCACUUUUUAAAGAGCGUGAGAUUUUAAAUUUUUCAAAAGAAGGAUGCUGGAUCAUUAUAAGUAAGGCGUGUUUUAAAGAUCUUCUUAUCAACAGCUUAAAAAUUAGCCAGUAUAUACUGAACAUCCACUGUAUAAAAGGCACAUUAUGAUGUGCUCCAGCAGGUACAGCAGUGAUCGAGACAGAAUCAUAGCCUUCAGGGAAGAGGUAUAUGCAAUGUUCUCUCCUUCCAAAGAUUACCUAGAUAGAGAACUGUUCAUAAGAAAUAUCUUGGUACUGUCUACAUUACUCUUGAGAUAUAAAAUAUAUAUUAUUUCUUAUGUCUGAAAUGAGUCAGUUGUUUCUAAAACAAUUUGUAUUAAAGUAUUCACAUUAAAAAAUUUGUAAAAUACAGAAAAGUAGAGAGAAAAAAUCAUGAAUUUUUAACAUGGUAAUGAUUAUAUCAGUUUCGUUCUUGGCAUUUCUUUAACUUGAUGGGAUAGCUAAUGUUUUUUGUCAUUGCAUAGAUUUGUAAACUUAUUCUAAUGAUUAUAUAAUUUCAGCAUGGGUUAGUUUCUAAGUAUGUCAGAAAUCUAGCUUUUUGUGGUAAUUAUUGUUGUUUUACACAAAAUAAUAAAAGACUCUAAACUAACCUUGGCUUUAGAAAUGCUUUUUAAAUUUUAAAAUAAUGAAUGAGUAGCAGAUUACUUUCUAGUAUUUCUUUAAGGUCACCAAAAUCACUUAACUUGCUUAAAAUAUUGAUGGAAAUAUCAAUUAUGUACAGUUGACCUAAAUUAGAAAUGGGUGUUUUUUAAAUAGUGAAAUUUAGAAAUAUAAUAUGUUUAUUUUAAAAUGCAGUUUCUGUUAUAGACUUCUGUUCCUCUGUAAUAAUUUCUCUUUAUACUAAAUCAUGUUCAGUUUUUAUUGUGCAGAUAAUUUAAUCUUACAGCUUUGAUCUUUUUUAAAAAAUAAAACAGCUGUUUGGAGUCU